rnacentral:rRNA from 1 species
CCUACGGGUGGCAGCAGUAGGGAAUCUUUCACAAUGGGCGAAAGCCUGAUGGAGCAACGCCGCGUGCAGGAUGAAGGCCUUCGGGUUGUAAACUGCUUUUAUAAGCGAGAAAUAUGAUGGUAACUUAUGAAUAAGGAUCGGCUAACUACGUGCCAGCAGCCGCGGUCAUACGUAGGAUCCGAGCAUUAUCCGGAGUGACUGGGGGUAAAGAGUUGCGUAGGUGGGAUAAUAAGUAGCUAGUGAAAUCUGGUGGCUCAACCAUUCAGACUAUUAGCUAAACUGUUAAGCUCGAGACCGUUAGGGGUAACUGGAAUUUCUAGUGUAGGAGUGAAAUCCGUAGAUAUUAGAAGGAACACCAAUAGCGUAGGCAGGUUGCUGGGACGGUUCUGACACUAAGGCACGAAAGCGUAGGGAGCAAACGGGAUUAGAUACCCCUGUAGUC